rnacentral:rRNA from 1 species
UACGUAGGGUGCGAGCGUUAAUCGGAAUUACUGGGCGUAAAGGGCGCGUAGGCGGCCUUCUAAGUCAGACGUGAAAUCCCCCGGCUUAACCUGGGAACUGCGUCUGAUACUGGAGGGCUUGAGUAUGGGAGAGGGAUGUAGAAUUCCAGGUGUAGCGGUGAAAUGCGUAGAUAUCUGGAGGAAUACCGGUGGCGAAGGCGGCAUCCUGGACCAUUACUGACGCUGAGGCGCGAAAGCUAGGGGAGCAAACGGG